rnacentral:tRNA from 1 species
GCCCCAGUGGCGAAAUGGUAGACGCGGCAGACUCAAAAUCUGCUGUCGAAAGGCGUGCUGGUUCGAGUCCGGCCUGGGGCACCA